AGCAGCCGCGGUAAUUCCAGCUCCAAUAGCGUAUAUUAAAGUUGUUGCAGUUAAAAAGCUCGUAGUUGAAUUUCGGGACUAAUAUGUCGGUCGUGCCUCGGUACGUACUGGUUUAUUGGUUUCUCCUUUCUGAAGAACCAUGAUGUCAUUUAUUUGGUGUCGUGGGGAAUCAGGACUGUUACUUUGAAAAAUUAGAGUGUUUAAAGCAGGCUCACGCUUGAAUACAUUAGCAUGGAAUAAUGAAAUAGGACGUUUGAUUCUAUUUUGUUGGUUUCUAGGAUCGACGUAAUGAUUAAUAGGGAUAGUUGGGGGCAUUAGUAUUCAAUUGUCAGAGGUGAAAUUCUUGGAUUUAUUGAAGACUAACUACUGCGAAAGCAUUUGCCAAGGAUGUUUUCAUUAAUCAAGAACGAAAGUUAGGGGAUCGAAGACGAUCAGAUACCGUCGUAGUCUUAACCAUAAACUAUGCCGACUAGGGAUCGGAUGAUGUUAAUUUUUUAAUGACUCAUUCGGCGCCUUACGG
rnacentral:misc_RNA from 1 species